GACGAACGCUGGCGGCGUGCCUAAUACAUGCCAGUAGAACGCACAGUUUAUACCGUAGCUUGCUACACCAUAGACUGUGAGUUGCGAACGGGUGAGUAACGCGUAGGUAACCUGCCUGGUAGCGGGGGAUAACUAUUGGAAACGAUAGCUAAUACCGCAUAAUAUUAAUUAUUGCAUGAUAAUUAAUUGAAAGGUGCAAUUGCACCACUACCAGAUGGACCUGCGUUGUAUUAGCUAGUAGGUGAGGUAACGGCUCACCUAGGCGACGAUACAUAGCCGACCUGAGAGGGUGAUCGGCCACACUGGGGCUGAGACACGGCCCAGACUCCUACGGGAGGCAGCAGUAGGGAAUCUUCGGCAAUGGACGAAAGUCUGACCGAGCAACGCCGCGUGAGUGAAGAAGGUUUUCGGAUCGUAAAGCUCUGUUGUAAGAGAAGAACGGGUGUGAGAGUGGAAAGUUCACACUGUGACGGUAUCUUACCAGAAAGGGACGGCUAACUACGUG
rnacentral:rRNA from 1 species